GUGGGGAAUAUUGGACAAUGGGCGGAAGCCUGAUCCAGCAACGCCGCGUGAGGGAUGACGGCCUUCGGGUUGUAAACCUCUUUCAGCACAGACGAAGCGAAAGUGACGGUAUGUGCAGAAGAAGCACCGGCCAACUACGUGCCAGCAGCCGCGGUAAUACGUAGGGUGCGAGCGUUGUCCGGAAUUAUUGGGCGUAAAGGGCUCGUAGGCGGUUUGUCGCGUCGGGAGUGAAAACACACAGCUUAACUGUGUGCUUGCUUCCGAUACGGGCAGACUAGAGGUAUGCAGGGGAGAACGGAAUUCCUGGUGUAGCGGUGAAAUGCGCAGAUAUCAGGAGGAACACCGGUGGCGAAGGCGGUUCUCUGGGCAUUACCUGACGCUGAGGAGCGAAAGUGUGGGGAGCGAACAGGAUUAGAUACCCCAGUAGUCC
rnacentral:rRNA from 1 species